rnacentral:rRNA from 1 species
GCUAAUAACUUGGUAAACCAGGUAUUUUUGGACUGAAUACAUAGGUCUAAAAAAGCAAACCCGGGGAACUGAAACAUCUAAGUACCCGGAGGAAAGGAAAUCAAUAUGAUACUCCCCUAGUAGCGGCGAGCGAACGGGGACCAGCCGAACUGUGAUUGUGAUUAGAAUGGUCUGGAAUGGCCAACCAUAGUGGGUGACAGUCCCGUAUAAGAAGCAUGAUCGGACGUAUUAAGUAGGGCGGAACACGUGAAAUUCUGUCUGAAGAUCGGAGGACCACCUUCGAAGGCUAAGUACUCCUUACUGACCGAUAGCGAACCAGUACCGUGAGGGAAAGGUGAAAAGCACCCCGACGAGGGGAGUGAAACAGUACCUGAAACCGAACGCCUACAAUCAGUUGGAGGGCCCUUGAGGCCUGACAGCGUACCUUUUGUAUAAUGGGUCAUCGACUUAGUGUAUCUAGCAAGCUUAAGCCGUUAGGUGUAGGCGCAGCGAAAGCGAGUCUUAAUAGGGCGACUGAGUUAGAUGCAUUAGACCCGAAACCGAGUGAUCUAGGCAUGUCCAGGAUGAAGGUAAGGUAACACUUACUGGAGGUCCGAACCCACACCUGUUGAAAAAGGUCGGGAUGAGGUGUGCCUAGGGGUGAAAGGCCAAUCAAACUCGGAGAUAGCUGGUUCUCUGCGAAAUCUAUUUAGGUAGAGCGUCGGACGAAUACCCUCGGGGGUAGAGCACUGAAUGGGUAAUGGGGGCCCACAGCCUUACUGAUCCUAAUCAAACUCCGAAUACCGAGGAGUAAUAUCCGGCAGACACACAGCGGGUGCUAACGUCCGUUGUG